GACGAGGUUCAGAGACUUCAAUUCAAUUCAAGCCUUUCAGGGGCUUGCGUUUGCGUACUAGUUAAGUUAUCUACUCCAUUCGACAGGGGUCUGGACUUUCUCUCUCUAUAUAUUUUUAGAGUCAGAAGUUCACCUGGUGAUGCCAGGCGCUCAGAGGACAACGCUGUGGAUUGACAGUUGAUGAUGUUCUUGACCAAAUAGGUAACUAGUUAACUAAAUGGCAGAGCGGCUAAAUUAACUAGGUAAGAUGCCUUCAACGCUUGGAUAGAUAGUAAGUUAGGUACCGCAGGAGAUCACUAUUUUACUCCUAGGGGAUAGCUAUUUGGUACAGUGCAUAUGACUGUGUGGAAUAUAAUAUCUAGAUUACAAAAAAGAAAAAGAAGAAAAGAAGGUAGUUUGACCCCCGACCGUGUGUAAUCUGUAUAUCAGUCCCUCCACGAACAGUUGAAUGAGCCCCGGACCUUUACCAAUUUAGAAGGAUGGUGUCCCUUCAGCCCAUUGCGAAAAUAUAACUAGCGUCUAUGGCAAAUCUACAGAGCAGAGGAAAAGAGAAGUGAAGGAACUGGGGGACUCUAUAGAGAACUAGUCUAAGUCAGGGAAAUACUAACAACCCGAGACGGGGUCUGCUUGACAGAAUAAAGACGAUUUGAGUGGGUUAUGUCGUAGAAGGGAAAAUGUUCUUUUUCUUGUCU
rnacentral:sRNA from 1 species